GAGUGCGUAAUAGCUCACUGGUCGAGGGUUUCGGCGCCGAUAAUGAUCGGGAAUAAGCAAUGUACCGAAGCUGCGGGCUGCGUAAGCAGCGGUAGGAGAGCGUUCCUGUCAGCAGAGAAGGCGUCCCGAAAGGGUCGCUGGAGCGUCAGGAAGUGAAUAUGCCGGGUUGAGUAACGAUAAAGCAGGUGAAAAUCCUGCUCGCCGAAAAUCUAAGGUUUCCUGGGGAAGGUAAAUCCGCCCAGGGUCAGCCGGGACCUAAGGUGAGGCCGAAAGGCGUAGCCGAUGGACGGCAGGUUAACAUUCCUGCGCUACUGUGGAGAUCAAUCAUGAGUGCGGAUCGGUCAGCCCUGCGUAAGCACCAGCUUGCUGAGGCCCUUGAGGCCGCUGCAGGGGGCUCCGGUCCCGAGAAAAGCUCAUGUGGCAAAGCAGUACCCGUACCAAAACCGACACAGGUAGAUGAGGUGAAUAACCUAAGGCGCUCGAGAUAACGGAAGUGAAGGAACUAGGCAAAUUGACCCCGUAAGUUCGCGAUAAGGGGGCCCUACCCCUCGGGGAGGGCGCAGAGAAAAGGCUCUGGCGACUGUUUAUCAAAAACACAGCACUGUGCUAACUCGUAAGAGGACGUAUACAGUGUGACGCCUGCCCAAUGCCGGAAUGUCACGGAAGCGGGUUAGCUUCGGCGAAGCUCGUAACCUAAGCACCGGUCAAUGGCGGCCGUAACUAUGACGGUCCUAAGGUAGCGAAGUUCCUUGUCGGGUAAGUUCCGACCUGCACGAAUGGCGUAACGACUUCCCCACUGUCUCCAGUACAUGCUCAGCGAAAUUGAAUUCUCCGUGAAGAUGCGGAGUACCCGCGGUUAGACGGAAAGACCCCGUGCACCUUUACUGCAGCUUCAGAGUGGCAUUAGGAAAGAACUGUGUAGCAUAGGUGGGAGGCUUUGAAGCGACGGCGCCAGCUGUCGUGGAGCCAUAGGUGAAAUACCACCCUGUUGUUUUCUGAUGUCUAACCACGCACCGUUAUCCGGUGCUGGGACCCUCUGUGGCGGGUAGUUUGACUGGGGCGGUCGCCUCC
rnacentral:rRNA from 1 species